rnacentral:lncRNA from 1 species
AAAUGGUGUUUUUCAAAAAGUUAUUGCGUUUUUAAAAACGUCAUUUGAAAUGGCGAGUUUAUUUUUUUUCAUCAUUCACGUGAAAAAGAGGUGGUGAUGUGGACACUAUAAAACGUCAUUUCAAAUAAUAUUUUAUCGUAUUUGAAUUAGUUUGAUAAAUAAAUUAAAAUUUAUAUUAUUUUUAUAAAUAAUUUUUUUAAAAUUAUUUCGGUGAAGGACUCAUGUUUAUCGGA